rnacentral:sRNA from 1 species
CUUCCAUGAUCUGCGGACAGAUCAGGUGGACGUGGCAGUCGAUGGCGCCGGCGGUGACGAUGCGGCCGUUUCCGGCGAUGAUCUCCGUCGACGGGCCGACCACCAGGUCCGGGUGUACCCCGGACAUGAUGUCGGGGUUGCCCGCCUUGCCGAUGGCCACGAUGCGGCCGUCGCGGAUCCCGAUGUCGGCCUUGAUGAUUCCCCAGUAGUCGACGAUGACCGCGCCGGUGAUGACGGUGUCGGGGGCGCCGUCGGCGCGGGUGGCCCGCGACUGCCCCAUCGAUUCGCGCAG